UUGUGGGCUCUGGAGGGCCCCUCCAUUAAACGUUUAAAAGAGACGUGGAGACAGGUGUCCAGGAAGAACUGUCAAAUAGUUAAAAAGAUCUUCCAAACAUGCCACCGGGAGAGCAGGAAGCUUCUCAAGGAGGAGGUGUCAUCUGUGAGGGCCACCCUGCAGAUGGACCCCCAGGGAGCCCAGGAGAGACAGCAGCAGCAGGGUGUCAUCCCCUUCCUGGGCAUGUUCCUCUAUCACCUGAAGCUGCUGGACAUUGGGAUG